rnacentral:rRNA from 1 species
GCUAAGAAUAUUCCGCAAUGGACGGAAGUCUGACGGAGCGACGCCGCGUGGAUGACGAAGGCCGAAAGGUUGUAAAGUUCUUUUGCUGGGGAAGAAUAACCGCAGGAGGGAAUGCCUGUGGGAUGACAAGAACCGGCGAAUAAGCCCCGGCCAACUACGUGCCAGCAGCCGCGGUAACACGUAGGGGGCGAGCGUUGUUCGGAAUUACUGGGCGUAAAGGGCAUGUAGGCGGCUUGGAAAGCCUGGCGUGAAAGUCUGCAGCGUAACUGCAGGGGUGCGCUGGGAACUGAGGAGCUUGAGUGACGGAGAGGGAGCUGGAAUUCCUGGUGUAGGGGUGAAAUCUGUAGAUAUCAGGAAGAACACCGAUGGCGAAGGCAAGCUCCUGGCCGAUGACUGACGCUGAGGUGCGAAAGUGUGGGGAUCAAACAGGAUUAGAUACCCGAGUAGUCC